rnacentral:rRNA from 1 species
ACCAGACUCCUACGGGAGGCAGCAGUGGGGGAUAUUGCACAAUGGGGGGAACCCUGAUGCAGCGACGCCGCGUGGGUGAAGAAGUAUUUCGGUAUGUAAAGCCCUAUCGGCAGGGGAGAAUUUAGACGGUACCUGACUAAGAAGCCCCGGCUAACUACGUGCCAGCAGCCGCGGUAAUACGUAGGGGGCAAGCGUUAUCCGGAUUCACUGGGUGUAAAGGGAGCGUAGACGGCCAUGCAAGCCUGGAGUGAAAGCCCGGGGCCCAACCCCGGGACUGCUCUGGGAACUGUGCGGCUGGAGUGCGGGAGGGGCAGGCGGAAUUCCUGGUGUAGCGGUGAAAUGCGUAGAUAUCAGGAGGAACACCGGCGGCGAAGGCGGCCUGCUGGACCGCGACUGACGUUGAGGCUCGAAAGCGUGGGGAGCAAACAGGAUUAGAUACCCCUGUAUUU